AACCUUGAGCAGCUUCAGAGAAGACCCCAGACCUUUCCCUAGCCUGCAAGCUGUGCGGUUUCAGCUGUGCUGUUUCCUGAGUUGCUGCCUGAGCUGAUGUGGGUUCUGCAGGGAGGCAGCUGCUGUGAAUCCGUUCCGGCUCCUGGAUCCCUCUGGGCACUGUGGCUCUGGUCCUCCCUCCCUGGGAACCAUGCUCCCCAUCGCGCUUGGGCACUUGGAACACUCGUACUGUGAAUUGAGAGGGAGGACACUGUUGUCCUGGGCUCCCACACCAAGCGGACCCUUCACCACACUCAACACCAGCUGUGGCAGCUGCACCUUCAGCAACUCUUGGCAACAGAAUCAGGAGAGAUGUAGACAGAAUAAGGUCUGGAUUGCAGAAGAAGCUUCUCUGAGUACAGUGGAGAGCAGUGCUGCCACAGAACUGCAGCAGGAGGAUGUGGACCCAGCAGCAUGAGAUUCCCAGAACCUUCCAGCCUCCACUGACAGGUUGUCACUGUAGUGACAGCCAGGCUGCAGGACUGAGUGGCUUCCUGGUUCUCUGUCCCCGGUGUAAAUGUAGGUAUUGCUGGACUAUGUAGUUCAUGUCACAGAGAUUAAGCUAUAAUAAUAAUGAUACUAUAAAAUAUUAUAUUUUAUGUUAUGGAAUAUAUAUUUCUAUCAUGUAUAGUCACAA